AUUGUUCAGCCUGAAGGUCCAAGCUUUCGUGUCAAUGGAUACUUUGUUGAAUGGCAAAAGUGGAAUUUUCGCAUUGGAUUCACUCCCAGAGAGGGUUUGGUUUUACAUUCUGUUGCAUAUGUUGAUGGUAGCAGGGGGCGGAGACCUGUUGCCCAUAGGUUAAGCUUUGUAGAGAUGGUUGUGCCUUAUGGAGAUCCAAAUGAUCCUCAUUAUCGGAAAAAUGCUUUUGAUGCCGGGGAAGAUGGCCUUGGUAAAAAUGCACAUUCUCUUAAAAAGGGGUGUGAUUGUUUGGGCCAUAUCAAAUACUUUGAUGCCCACUUUACAAACUUCACAGGAGGCAUUGAAACAAUUGAAAAUUGUGUAUGCUUGCAUGAAGAGGAUCAUGGAAUUUUAUGGAAGCAUCAAGACUGGAGAACUGGCUUAGCAGAAGUACGAAGGUCUAGACGGCUCACAGUUUCUUUUAUAUGUACAGUUGCUAAUUAUGAGUAUGGAUUCUAUUGGCACUUCUAUCAGGAUGGAAAAAUUGAAGCAGAAGUUAAACUUACAGGAAUCCUCAGCUUGGGAGCAUUACAACCAGGAGAUAUUCGAAAAUAUGGCACAACCAUUGCUCCUGGUCUAUAUGCACCAGUUCAUCAACAUUUCUUUGUUGCUCGUAUGAACAUGGCCGUAGAUUGCAAACCUGGUGAAGCUUUCAAUCAGGUUGUUGAGGUGAAUGUUAAAGUUGAGAAACCUGGAGAGAACAAUGUCCACAAUAAUGCAUUUUAUGCUGAAGAGACUCUGCUUAGAUCAGAAUUGCAAGCAAUGCGGGACUGUAAUCCUCUAACAGCUCGCCAUUGGAUUGUGAGAAAUACUAGAACUGUCAAUCGGAUGGGACAAUUAGCAGGGUACAAGCUGGUACCUGGUUCAAACUGUUUGCCAUUAGCUGGCCCUGAGGCCAAGGUUUUGAGAAGAGCUGCUUUUUUGAAGCAUAAUCUUUGGGUUACACCUUAUGCAUAUGAUGAGAUGUUUCCUGGAGGAGAGUUCCCUAACCAAAAUCCACGUGUUGGAGAAGGACUUGCUACCUGGGUGAAGCAGAAUCGAUCUUUGGAAGAAACUGAUGUAGUUCUUUGGUAUGUAUUUGGGAUCACACAUGUUCCUCGGUUGGAAGACUGGCCAGUAAUGCCUGUAGAGCGCAUUGGUUUUAUGCUUAUGCCGCAUGGGUUCUUCAACUGCUCUCCUGCUGUGGAUGUCCCACCUAACGCAUGCGAAUUAGAUAACAAAGACGCUGAUGUCAAAGACAAUGGUGUAGCCAAGCCUCUUCAAAGUGUUAUGCUGGCAAAGCUUUGAAUCGCUUCCAAUUAUUAUUUUGACAGUCCCCGUACAAGAACCUCUGGAUUUGAUUCUAUGCUGGAAAGUAGGGUCUCCUCGUUCCUCCAUUUCAGUCUCAGCAUUGGCAACUAAUCAAUGAGGUAGAUCAUUGUUAGUGGUUUUUGUACACAAGAAUUUACUCUCUGAACUCAGGUUUCAUCUGACUUUUUGUUGUUAUAUUGAAGAUUUGAAUGCUGGUUUUCUUGAUUAGACCAAUAAAAGAAUGUUUUUUUUUUACUAACAAAA
rnacentral:misc_RNA from 1 species